UAACCGAGUCAAACGGUCGCGCGGUAGGAUGCCGAAAGGUGCUACCGUGAGGAAAGUCCGGGCUUCACAGGGCAGGAUAACGGAUAACGUCCGCCGAGGGGAACCUCCGGGAAAGUGCAACAGAAAUAGACCGCCGCCUCCGGGCGGUAAGGAUGGAAAGGCGAGGUA
rnacentral:RNase_P_RNA from 1 species